GGGCUUGUGGCUCCGUGGUAGAGCACUUGCCUAGCAUGCAGGAGGCACUGGGUUCGACCCCCCAGCACCA
rnacentral:tRNA from 1 species